UCCACCAACAGAUGAUCCGUUCAUGCCCCGUUGUGCCAGCUGCUGGACGACAAUACGUCGGCUAAGGCGAUAAGCGAAACAUGGAAACGUUCCGUUUGCAUAAAACUUGGAAAUCGGUAGAAUUGUGAUUGAAAAAUGACGCUUCUGUCCCACCUAAAGGCGUGUGUCGUUUUUUUUGGUUUCAUAUUUAAACUAUGUGCCGAAGACAACAGUGACGAAGAUAGAAGUUGAAGAAGGUGAGCCAGUAACCGCUGGGGUGGCAGGAGACGGGUUGAACUGUUAAUCGCAAUUAUAAAGGCGUAAAGGUCUAACGCAGGCAACAGCGUAUACGUCAGGCCGGCACUGAUUCUACGACACGAUCAGCGGAACCUACUGGCCACGAAAUUACGUACGACAACGAUCAAACCUAAAAUACAUCUCUAGGCACCUUUCACAUGAUACACGUCGCUCGUAAAUCGUUACGCGAACGGACACUGCGACAAUCGAUCGUGGCUUAAACGUGUGGAUCUUGGUUUCCGUUGAGCUACUGCCAUCAUUGACCAGAGGAAUCACUGCAAAGGCGCUCAGACAUUUCUGUCCCCUGACGCAAGCAUUCAAUGACGGGAAAAGCUGUGAGGCAGGAGUAUAAACUACUUUCUGCAAGUGUCUAUGCUAUACUAACACAUAUCUCCUUAAAAAUCGAUAAUCAUCCCUAUAUAGCUCGCUUCGUUACUGAACAGCAUCCAACAUUUAAGGGAUUUUCUAUUAGAGAAUAUAGGUUGAUUCAUCAAUACCGGUUGCAUGUAUGUAUGUAUGUAUGUAUGUAUAUAUAUAUAUAUAUAUAUGUUUAAUUAUUGGCGAUCUGAGCAAAAACAAAUAACUUAUUAUUUAAUCGAGAGAAAGAGAAGUGGCUCAAUAGUACAAAACAUGUCUAUUCUACAGAAAGGUGUCUACUUUCCAACUGUUUUGGACAAACGUAAGAAGGAACCUUUUUCGCGGAACAAUAACGAAACGAAGUCGGCUGAUCUACAGCCAGUGCGCGAAUCAUCCACAUGUUUCUCUACAAGACACCACCGUAAGGAGAUUAAGAGUCACGUUUAUCCGUCCGCAGUGAGACAUCUGCAUGCACAGCACAUAGCUCAUACACAUUAUUAAGCUGGGUUCUUAUGGCACACAUCAUAAGUAGGGUAGCUAUAGCGUCGUGUGAAGAAAUAGGUCAAAACGAAUAGGAUAACUAUCUGGCUAGCAGGCAGAGGAGUAUUUCAGCAAAGAAUUUUCAUGCCACUACAAUUAAUGGGGAGCAUCUUGUACGUCAGCCUCCCUGUAAUGGGGGCUGUCGCUUAUCUUCAAUAUGUUAACUCAUCAAUUAUUGUUGUCUUUAGUAGCAGGUCUAUAUUCAGCGCGAGCGAGAUUUUCUAUUAAAAACCGCUCGUCUUGUUAGUUCUAUAGGGGCCGUUCGAACUUUGCGUCUAUAAUGCCUUCUCUGUAAUAGUGACUGCAUAGCUAAAUAACCGAUAACAGGCAACAGCAAAAAGCAACUGUCAGUAUUGUGGACACCAAUUGCCAUCGUCGUUGUCGGCAUUGAGAUGAUCAGGAUCUUCAUCGCUUGCACCGCCCUCCUCUCAUAGGCCGUCUGCUUGUCACGCCCAAGACAAGUGUAUAUAUCCUAAUGACUUGUCUUGCUGACUGGUCCACUCGAGCAUUGUCUCUUGCCUGUUGCUUACUAUUCGUUGUGCAAUAGCUUUCCUCGUUGCGGACCGCCGCUAUCACAUCGAUAGCAUCACUCUUCGCCGUCGCUUAUUGGCAACACAUUUGUCGGCUGAAGAUUUAGCUAGAGCUAGCUGUCAUUGACCUAACGUGCCAUUGCUAGCAAGAAUGAGUCUCACAUACAUAGGGUUCUGAAGUUACCCCUCGUUGUCUUUAGCACACGAAAAGCAUAUGAAACUUGAUGACGACGACGACGACGAUGGCAGCGGCUGUGAUUGCAGCCCGUAAAAGAACAAGUCAAAUAUAAUAAACUUACUUGUGUAGCCAUUUGCUUUUCUCUCUCAAUAGAUAUGCGUGUGUAUCUGGAUAUAUAUGUGUGUAUACAUUAUAGAUGUGCAGUUAUCCCAAGAGUACUAUGCCGGUUCGUGCGCCCCUACAAAGCGAUACGGCGCCGAUCUUCCACGGUCAACAGCGUUUAACGGAGAGAGCGAGAGAGAGAGGUAGACAAUAAGGAGUUGGCAUAUCCUGUUACUUUGUUUAUAGCUUUCGCGCGGCGUGGGUGAAAAUUCGGACGCGAACGAGAAGUCUUCAAACCGUGGAUCACAAAACGGCGUCCUACAACGCUCGAGUCAUUCCGCGGGCCGCAAACUCCACACGGAGUAGACUGUAAAGUAAAACCGCCGACGACAAUAACAACAUACAGUGACGCAUACGGCGCUUAAGUUAAGCGGUGACGCCGCGUAGGAAUAUUACGGGGGCUGGCAAAAAGAUGGGGGAAAGUCCGAGAAGAUGGUAGAUAUGCACAAAACGUAUUGCUGUUGUGGCUCUUUUUGUACGACUGUAGCGAAGACAUGUUGAAGACCAUCGAGCAGCGCAACGGAUUGAGAUAUAUACGGUGACAGGCAGUGGAACGCUGUUGACGUCGGGAACGCGUAAAGACAAAGGACUCGCGGCAGAGAUCGUCGUACCAGCAGCAGCAGCAGCAGCAGCGGUAUUGCUGAAGGCAAUACUGUGGAGUACUUUACAGGGAAUGCCACAAAGACAGCGAGGAGAAAAGGUCCGCCAAAAACAUCAUUACAAGCAGGAACUGUAGAAGCAAAGCGUUUCAGGGCAGGUCGCGACUCGUUUUAGUCAGGGCAAGCCAACGACGAGUCACGAGACUGCGCGGCGACCAACGUCACGAGACAGUCAACAAGGAAAUAUGUGCGACGCAGGAUAUAUAGUCAGUUAGACAACAUGCACAGUCACAGAUGCAAAUGUAAAGAGGGAAAAUAAGGGGCCAACUGACGAAGGGUGGAGCGUCCACGAGGUAACCGAUGGCGGGAGGAGCAUGAACGAUUGUGAUUGCGACAACAAUGGCGACAACGAUUUGGCUUCUUAACUUGAACAACAGCUUGAGUUGGGUCUCACAGCGGCUGGUGAUGGCAGCUUGAGCAGAAGUUCCAUUCGUCUGUUAAUAGGGAGUUGGGAGCUGGUUUUCACAAUAAUCGUAUUAUUGUUGUAGCUGCGGUCGGAGCAGUAACCGAGAGCUGAAACUUCCUCCUCAUCCUGAUUUUUGUCGCUGUAAAACCUGUGAUGCGGAUGGAAGAUGGCAUGGUGGAUGCUCGAUUAACGUUGCCACGUUCCUGCAGCUGCUUCACAGAAGACUAUGACUGAAGAUUGAGCACCGAAAAGCAAACGAAUCGAGCAGAAAUUACAGUGGCUAGUAACACAGGCUAGCGGCUUAUCAGGGCCCGAGGACGAAAAUGCGAUGGCAUCGGUUAAUAUAAAGGUACAUGCUGGAAGCUGGGACGAUUGUGCUAAGGCCAAAUUGGCCACAUGCAUACAAAAGGAUCGAUUGUGAUUAUGGUUUUGCCGCGGUCAUCGCUGUCGACACCAUCAACAAUGAAGUCUAAUAGAGCGGAACAAUAGCUCAAUUGAAUGCUUACGCUAUAAAUUCAGAAUCGAAAAUCUUAGAGACGAUAAACAAAUUGCUAUAUAUAAUUAGGAAAAAAAAGAUUACAACUACAGAUAUAAAGCCGAAUGUUUUAUCUGGCAUCGUGCACUUAAUUAGUGUUCUUAUGCGUGAUUACUAGACAGAAAAAUCAUAAUAGGUGUCAACUAAAAGUUUGUGUUUUGUUGUUUAACAUGUUGAAUUCAGUUACAUAGAGGAAGCAUUUUUUGGACCAUGUUUGUUGUUAACAGUUCGAUGACCUGGUGUUUACCGCGUAUUUUUAUACCAGGUACCCGUUUUCAAAAUAAGCGCACUAUAAUUUUAAAUAUUAUGCAAAAAAUUAUUUAAUUUUAAGCACAUAUAUAUGCUACUCUUA